UGAGCACGUGUGCCCUCCCUGCUCUGCAGGCGAGGAGACCGGGGGUCAGAAAGGGUCAGGGAGUUGGCUGUGACCACCCGGCUGUUAAGCAGCAGGGCCAGGAUUUGACCUGAGGGCGGGAGGCUUCCAAGUCUGACCGUGCACAUGGCAGGAACCCUGAACCACCUUUGCAUAAAUGGGCUUCACAGCCCGAUCUGCCUUUUACGAGGUUCUUUCUUGCUUAACUUGGCGUAACACACAGCUCCACAUAACAACGUCCCGGGCAGUGACAGACCACAUAUGUGACACUAGUCCCAUAAGAUUAUAAUGGAGCUGAAAUAUUUCUAUUGCCUACUGAUAUCACAGCCAUCGUAACAUCGUAGCACAAUUGGUUUCCUUUUUUCAAAUCAAUUUAGUGUAGCCUGAGUGUACAGUGUGUGUAAGGCCUACAGCAGUGUGCGGCGCUGUCCUGGGCCUUCACAGUCACGCCCCGCUCGCUCACCGACUCACCAAGAGCAACUUCCAGUCCUGCCAGCUCCAUUCAUGCCCUGGUGGCCCAUCCCACGUUCUGUGGAAACUGAACAAAGACAUGCCAUGUGACUACUCGUUUUUAAUUGAGAACUGUCCUCUAUAGUUUGGAGCAGAGACUUGGAACACAGACAUGCGCUCCACGCCGCUUCCCUCUGGAACCUCCUGGCCUGUCUGAGCCGUGAGCGACAUCUCCCCGAAGGGCUGGAAUCUGGAGGGAAGGCUCGCUGUGUCCAGAGCCUGGGAGGACCUGGCAGGGCUGGGGAGGAAAGAACAGACCUUAGGCCAGAAAGCCGAAAAG